UCUUGUCAAGUUUUGACUUAAGAAGCUAUGGCUCGAAGAAGCAGAUCAAUGCCUUUCAAACUUCUAAUCUCCUCUGAAUGUAGCUCAGUUUUGACUAAUUCUGAGCAGAAAUACACACAUAGCCCUGGAGCCCCUUCCGAACUGUUGGGCUAAUGUUCAUGGCUUUGCUAAUGAUUAAACUGGAGCACAGUGCAGCUGGUCCCACUAGUCACAGGAAGGCUCAGAAAGCUAGGAAGCCAUUGGGAAGCCAUUGAUGCUAUGACCUUCUGCUCUCGGGGCCCUAGUGCAGGCUGUGCUUCUGCUCAGACAGAAUAACCCUUUGGCAGAGCGUGGGUCUAGUCAGUAUAUUCCUCAUCGAUACGAGGAAGGGUAUCAAGAUCGCGACCACCUGUGGCCAAUAAGCACAUGAGAAGAUGCUCAACAUCACUAGUCAUCAGGGAAAUGCAAAUCAAAACCACAAUGAGAUACCACCUCACACCCAUCAGGACGGCUACGAUGAAAAAUAAAAACCCAGAAAAUCACAAGUGUUGGCAAAGCUGUGACGAAAUCAAAGUCCUCGGGCACUGUAGGUGGGAAUAUGGUGCAGCUGUUCCGUAAAACUGUGUGUGCAAGCCCUUUUCCCGGGGGUCAGCGAUUGCACGGCGCUGCGGAGUCCUGAAGCUUGCAGGCUCUGAUACAGACCGGGGUUCACAUCUGGAAUCCACCAGUGCUGCCAUCUUGGCGACGUGACUCAAUGUCCCUGAGCUGCCUUUGCCUCAUUUGCAAAAUCGAGAUAAUAAUAGUACCUACCUCCUAGCUUUGCUGCGAGGAUUGAAUGAUUGGACACAGAGAAAAUGUUGGCACCGCGCCUGGCAAGAAGGAAGAACCCAGUAAAUGUCAGCUGUUGUUGGUACCUGAUAAAAGAUAACACCUACCUGGUGAGCCUAAAAAAGACACAGUGAAGACUCAUCAUUAUGCAGAACAUAAAGAAUGGAAUUAAGAAUCUUGGAAACUGAAAAACACAGCAUAUGGUUUCAUACCUACUGUGUGAUCAUAAGAACAAACAACUUGUUUUUUUCCCUCGGGUUAGUAUUCAAAAUUAAGGGAAAAUUGCCCACAGUCAAGUCUGGGCAUGAUGAAAAUGGGUCACAGUACAAAGCCUUCCACAGUCAAAUGAUUCAGUUAGUGUUGAAACAGCCCAGUCCCAGCGCUGGGGCCCCUUCCCUGCUCCCCUGGCUCAUGGUCAGCUCUCCCCUCUGAAGCCCUGAGCCCCUCUGGAAGCCGGGGGCCUUACCUGGCUCAAAACUGGGUGAACUCUUUGAGGCUGGGGCUGCGUCUGGUUUCCACAGUAUGUCACUGUGCUUGACACGAAGAAGGCUCUCAGGAGUGCCCCCAGGACUGAAUCCUGUUUUGGGGGACAUAGUUGGAUGUUCCCUAAGAACUUGGAAAGAAGUUUAUACUCUGUGAAUUCAACUUUAAGUCCCACACAUAAUGGAUCACAAAAGAGGUGCAAAAUGUAGCCCUUUAAGCGUGAAGACACCCCGGCCACCGAAGACCUUGGCAUUAUCCUCUGAAGGGAAUGCAUGUGCAUCGGAAGGUGGCCUUGGCCAGUGGUGCAGGGUGGUCCAGCCCUGAAGGAAUGGAAGCGGGCAUCACAGAGGCAGACGUUUCCAGGACUGCCCAGUUCGCAUCAGGGAAGGAGUCAUGCUGGCAUCUGGGUUCGCUGGUCAAGUCAUGUCCAUGGUGAGGGGAACCGGAAUCCUAUGAUUCUGGUUCUGUGUUCACCGAGUCUGCUAGAGAGGCCGCCUACAGGGAAAUAGCGGACUAGUUAUAUGGACCCAAGCAUUUUUGUUGCCAUGUGUCGUAGGCAGAAUAAUGCAGCCUCCCCGCCAAAAA